rnacentral:rRNA from 1 species
UCGGGAAUUUUGGGCAAUGGGCGAAAGCCUGACCCAGCAACGCCGCGUGAAGGAUGAAGUAUUUCGGUAUGUAAACUUCGAAAGAAUAGGAAGAAUAAAUGACGGUACUAUUUAUAAGGUCCGGCUAACUACGUGCCAGCAGCCGCGGUAAUACGUAGGGACCAAGCGUUGUUCGGAUUUACUGGGCGUAAAGGGCGCGUAGGCGGUGUGUCAAGUCAGUUGUGAAAUCUCCGAGCUUAACUCGGAACGGUCAACUGAUACUGUCACACUAGAGUACAGAAGGGGCAAUCGGAAUUCUUGGUGUAGCGGUGAAAUGCGUAGAUAUCAAGAGGAACACCUGAGGCGAAGGCGGGUUGCUGGGCUGAUACUGACGCUGAGGCGCGAAAGCUAGGGUAGCAAACGGGAUUAGAUACCCUGGUAGUCCCUGAGCGGGCUGGCAAGGCGCAU